rnacentral:lncRNA from 1 species
AUGCAGCCGGGGGGACUCAGGGGGACGCGGCCGGGGGGGCGGCCACGGUGCGGGGUUAUCUGGAGGCGGUACCGGCCAGAAUUGGACGGAGGCUCUGGCUGGGGAGAAAUUCCGCUUAUGCGGCACAUUUGCCUCCCCCUCUGCCCUCGAUGUUUGGAUUAUUUUCGCAUGAGAACAGGAUCCUGCUUUCUCAAGAGUUCAUCUGCCCCUGCUGCUCCGGCGUCUCCCCUCCGCAGCCGCAGUGAUGCAACCGGCCCUGGCGCCAGGCGGCCGCCAGCCCCGCACACCCCCCCCCCGUCCCCCAUGCACCGGGCACCCCCGCGCCCCCCGCCCCCGGACCCACGGGAUGGAAGCCGCCGGCUCGGGGGCAGCACGAGGAAGACCCCGGACCUCGUCCCUAGCACUUAUCCAAAGGGUGCCGGAGCGCCCUGGCCGGGCGCCGUGCCCCAGCCCUCCCACCCUGAUUGCAGCACCAUGGGGUGGGGGGCACGGGGAGAGACCCCCCCCAUCCCUGGCGGGGCCGUCCCCAUGCCCCACGCAGCACUUAGGGACAGCUCAGGGGUCGGAUGCGCGCCCUGGCCAGAGGACUCGGGAUGCUCAGCACUUGUCCCCCGCUCCACGCGCCCCCCAAGCGCUUACAAGGACGAGGCUGCCCCGGAGCCCCCCAAGCACUUAGGGCCCGGAGCGCGCGGGGUUCCCGGGGCUCGGCAGCCACUCUCCGGCCUCAGUGGCACGAAGGAGGUGGUGCAGGGCUGGAUACAACCUGUGGGAUCCACCAGCGCCGACACCAACCCGGCUGCGGGGCGAGAGGUCGGUGCCGCAGCCCCAAUCCCUGCUCUUCAGUGCCUUUGGGGGCUGCCAGCGCCGCCUCCGGAGCCGGCAGGGGGAUGGGGGGAAGCAGCGUCCCGCAGCACCUGGGGGGCUCGUCCCGGAGAGGUGGCACUCAGGGGGCAUUUUGCCAGUCCCCAUCGUGGUUGCAGCCAGCGCCCACCAUCGUCACCUCAUCCCUCCGCGUACGACACCGCUGGAUGCGGCCGCCGAUCGAGGAUGCGCUCGGGUGGAGCUGGGCGCCGGGAAAAAGCCAAAAUCUGCUUCAGAGUGAACUGGAAAGGGUGCGGGGCCGAGCGUGCUCCAACGCUUGUCCACAGCCGUCGGCACAGCCUCGAGCCCCGUGCAGCCACGUGCAACGCGCUCGGCACAACGCGGCUGCUCCCCGGGCACCGCUCCCGGUGCUGCCCACGAGACGCGGGGCGCAAAAGGCGGCGGCACCGGAGUGGCCAAGCCUGGAGCCAUGAGGGGCAGUGGAUGGGAACCACGGCCCCAAAACCCGGCCCCGCUCCCACAAAAGCCCCCGCGCCCACCGGGGUGCCGCGGCAGGCAGGUGGCGCCGGAGAAGAACUGGGACCAGUGCCCCGCGCUGACUGGUCCCAGCGCCGGACCGAGGGCAGCAGGCUGGGCGGCGCAGCCCCGGCAGUAUGGUAUUAUUUACACUGUGUAUUGUUACUGUGCGUAAUGUCCUAG